rnacentral:rRNA from 1 species
GAAAGCCUGACGGAGCAACGCCGCGUGAGUGAUGAAGGUCUUCGGAUCGUAAAACUCUGUUAUUAGGGAAGAACAUAUGUGUAAGUAACUGUGCACAUCUUGACGGUACCUAAUCAGAAAGCCACGGCUAACUACGUGCCAGCAGCCGCGGUAAUACGUAGGUGGCAAGCGUUAUCCGGAAUUAUUGGGCGUAAAGCGCGCGUAGGCGGUUUUUUAAGUCUGAUGUGAAAGCCCACGGCUCAACCGUGGAGGGUCAUUGGAAACUGGAAAACUUGAGUGCAGAAGAGGAAAGUGGAAUUCCAUGUGUAGCGGUGAAAUGCGCAGAGAUAUGGAGGAACACCAGUGGCGAAGGCGACUUUCUGGUCUGUAACUGACGCUGAUGUGCGAAAGCGUGGGGAUCAAACAGGAUUAGAUACCCUGGUAGUCCACGCCGUAAACGAUGAGUGCUAAGUGUUAGGGGGUUUCCGCCCCUUAGUGCUGCAGCUAACGCAUUAAGCACUCCGCCUGGGGAGUACGACCGCAAGGUUGAAACUCAAAGGAAUUGACGGC